GACGAACGCUGGCGGCGUGCUUAACACAUGCAAGUCGAACGGAAAGGCCCUGCUUUUGCGGGGUGCUCGAGUGGCGAACGGGUGAGUAACACGUGAGUAACCUGCCCUGGACUUGGGGAUAACUUCAGGAAACUGGGGCUAAUACCGGAUAGGAGCUCCUGCUGCAUGGUGGGGGUUGGAAAGUUUCGGCGGUUGGGGAUGGACUCGCGGCUUAUCAGCUUGUUGGUGGGGUAGUGGCUUACCAAGGCUUUGACGGGUAGUCGGCCUGAGAGGGUGACCGGCCACAUUGGGACUGAGAUACGGCCCAGACUCCUACGGGAGGCAGCAGUGGGGAAUAUUGCACAAUGGGCGGAAGCCUGAUGCAGCAACGCCGCGUGCGGGAUGACGGCCUUCGGGUUGUAAACCGCUUUCGCCUGUGACGAAGCGUGAGUGACGGUAAUGGGUAAAGAAGCACCGGCUAACUACGUG
rnacentral:rRNA from 1 species